ACCGGCCUCCAUUGAGUUGAGAACUCUCAGGAAAAUCAGCAACUCGAAUAUUUUCACUACUCAAAAACUGGAUGCUAAUCAACACCUCCGGCGGCGCCAGAAAGUGGAGAAUUAAAGGGCCUUGUGCGAAAUUCUGUGCUCAACUUAGAUUCUUUAAUGAGUAUUUGCCUGAAGAUAAAGAUCCUCUGCAUGCGUGGUUGGUGAUUUGUUUCGUCUCUGUUCUUGCUCUUGCAGUAUUGUGUGUAACUACUGAAAGUAACACUUCAGCGACCCCAUUGAUAAAGAAAGUAUUCCUACAUACUGCUAGAGCUGAACGAAUUUUGCUUCCGGAUGGUAGAUACAUGGCAUAUAGGGUGCCAGGUGUUCCAGUUGACAGAGCUAGGUUUUCUAUAAUUGUUCCCUAUACGUUUCUUUCCUCUUGACUUGCAGGUUGGAUAAUCUUAGUGUUAAAAGAUUGUAGUGUGCUAUUGGUUUUACUUACAUUUGUAAAGUUUUUAUUUGUUAUGUUGUAUCCUUUCUUGAUCAAGAAUACCUGGACUUAAGACUUCACUUUUGGAAGAGUUUGGUAUUUGCUUGUUGACUUAUGAUCUUCCAGGUUUUGGUGAGAGUGAUCCUCAUUCCAGUAGAAACGUUGAGUCAUCAGCAUUGGAUAUGUUGUUUCUGGCUAGUUUGUGGGUGUUAAUGGCAAGUUCUGGGUGUUGGGAUACUCGAGUGGAAGCCUGCAUGCGUGGGCCGCGCUCAGAUACAUUCCUGACAGACUUGCAGCUUGAAGAUAGACUGGAACAAACUGUGCUUCUGAUACAUAAACAUUUUUGAAGUUAAGAAA